AUUCCUGUGGCUCAUUUCGUAGAGCAUUGUGCUAACAACACAAAGAUUGUGGGUUCAAAUCCCUCACCAUCAAUA